AGAUUCCCUGCCAUUUCAAGGAGAGAAGCCAAGGUAUUUUUUUACCCAGUGGAAGAAUGAUGUAGUUUCAGCCUAAUCUUCUUUUCUUACACUUCUAGAUGCUUAUAUGGUCCGCUCUGGUCUGCAUGCCCAGAGGGCUAUGAUGGGAACGUGUGUGACCACUCGGAUGGUUCCCCUGACUCACUGCCUCUGCCCGGAAGCUCAUCUUUCAGAAGUCAGGAAACUGCUUCCCAUGGUGGUGGACCCCCAGGGACAAAACGCUGUGUAGAUGGAAAUGGACGGAAGCAGCUCAG
rnacentral:lncRNA from 9 species